GUAGGUGGCAAGCGUUGUCCGGAUUUAUUGGGCGUAAAGAGGGCGCAGGCGGUCGRUCAAGUYUMGUGUGAAAUCYCCCGGCUYAACUGGGGAGGGUCMUUSGAAACUGGUNGRCUUGAAKGCWGGAGAGGGUAGUGGAAUUCCCGGUGUAGYGGUGAAAUGCGUAGAUAUCGGGAGGAACACCAGUGGCGAAGGCGGCUUCCUGGCCUGUUCUUGACGCUGAGGCGCGAAAGCUWGGGGAGCAAACGGGAUUAGAUACCCCGGUAGUCCUSGCCGUAAACGAUGRAUACUAGGUGUUGGGGGUAUCAACCCCSCCUGUGCCGAAGCUAACGCWWUAAGUGUCCCGCCUGGGGACUACGGCCGCAAGGCUA
rnacentral:rRNA from 1 species